rnacentral:rRNA from 1 species
GACCAGACUCCUACGGGAGGCAGCAGUGGGGAAUAUUGCACAAUGGGGGAAACCCUGAUGCAGCGACGCCGCGUGAGUGAAGAAGUAUUUCGGUAUGUAAAGCUCUAUCAGCAGGGAAGAAAAUGACGGUACCUGAUUAAGAAGCCCCGGCUAACUACGUGCCAGCAGCCGCGGUAAUACGUAGGGGGCAAGCGUUAUCCGGAUUUACUGGGUGUAAAGGGAGCGUAGACGGCAGUGCAAGUCUGAAGUGAAAGCCCCGGGCUUAACCCGGGAAUUGCUUUGGAAACUGUACGGCUGGAGUGCUGGAGAGGUAAGCGGAAUUCCUAGUGUAGCGGUGAAAUGCGUAGAUAUUAGGAGGAACACCAGUGGCGAAGGCGGCUUACUGGACAGUAACUGACGUUGAGGCUCGAAAGCGUGGGGAGCAAACAGGAUUAGAUACCCGAGUAC